rnacentral:rRNA from 1 species
GACGAACCGUCCUAACGUUGUUCGGAAUCACUGGGCUUAAAGGGCGCGUAGGCGGCUUGCCAAGUCAGGGGUGAAAUCCUGCAGCUUAACUGUAGAAGGGCCUUUGAUACUGGCGAGCUCGAGGGAGGUAGGGGUAUGUGGAACUUCCGGUGGAGCGGUGAAAUGCGUAGAUAUCUGGAGGAAUACCGGUGGCGAAGGCGGCAUCCUGGACCGGCAUUGACGCUGAGGAGCGAAAGCUAGGGGAGCAAACGGG